rnacentral:rRNA from 1 species
GAUCCUACGGGACGCAGCAGUGGGGAAUAUUGGACAAUGGGGGGAACCCUGAUCCAGCGACGCCGCGUGAGUGAAGAAGUAUUUCGGUAUGUAAAGCUCUAUCAGCAGGGAAGAAAAAAGGACGGUACCUGAGUAAGAAGCCCCGGCUAACUCCGUGCCAGCAGCCGCGGUAAUACGGAGGAUGCGAGCGUUAUCCGGAUUUAUUGGGUUUAAAGGGUGCGUAGGCGGAAUGCCAAGUCAGCGGUAAAAUCGCGGGGCUCAACCUCGCUCCGCCGUUGAAACUGGCGUUCUUGAGUGGGCGAGAA